AACGAACGCUGGCGGCAGGCCUAACACAUGCAAGUCGUACGAGAAGGUUCUUCGGGAACUGGAGAGUGGCGCACGGGUGAGUAACGCGUGGGGACCUACCUCUUAGUGGGGGAUAACGGUUGGAAACGACCGCUAAUACCGCAUACGCCUUCGGGGGAAAGAUUUAUCGCUAAGAGAUGGACCCGCGUUGGAUUAGAUAGUUGGUGAGGUAACGGCUCACCAAGUCAGCGAUCCAUAGCUGGUUUGAGAGGAUGAUCAGCCACACUGGGACUGAGACACGGCCCAGACUCCUACGGGGAGGCAGCAGUGGGGAAUAUUGGACAAUGGCGCAAGCCUGAUCCAGCCAUGCCGCGUGAGUGAAGAAGGCCUUCGGGUUGUAAAGCUCUUUCAGAUGCGAAGAUGAUGACGGUAACAUCAGAAGAAGCCCCGGCUAAUUUCGUGCCAGCAGCCGCGGUAAUACGAAAGGGGCAAGCGUUGUUCGGAUUUACUGGGCGUAAAGGGCACGCAGGGCGGUCCUGCCCAGUCAAGGGGGUUGAAACCCGG
rnacentral:rRNA from 1 species